GCCGAAGCUGGCUUCUAAGGGAACUUGGGAGGAUCCCAUCUCAGCCUUCGUGACUAGUGAGGGUCUCCAGAUCUGAAAGCAUAGCCUCGCGGCCUGUAUUCCAGUAGUGUUACAAUCGGUUUUUAUCGAGUGCCCACUAUGUACUGACACUGAACUAAGCGAUUUGGAUGCCUGGUCAUUUAAUCCUUGGAGCAAUCUUGAGAGGUUGGAGUUUUGAUUUCCAUUCUGCAGUUGAGGAAACGGAGGCUGCAAGAUUAAAUGAAUGACUUAUACAUGGAUAUGUAGUUGCAGAGGCAGUGUUAACAUCCCAACUGAAAGCACAUCAAGAGAAACCAAAUUUUAUUAUCAAGACCCCAAAGGGUACCAGGGAUCUUAGUCCUCAGCAUAUGGUUGUGAGGGAGAAAAUUCUUGAUUUGGUUAUCAGCUGCUUUAAACGUCAUGGAGCAAAGGGGAUGGACACCCCAGCAUUUGAGCUGAAGGAAACCCUGACUGAGAAGUAUGGAGAGGACUCUGGGCUCAUGUAUGAUCUGAAGGAUCAAGGUGGAGAGCUGUUGUCCCUCCGCUAUGACCUUACUGUAUCCUUUG
rnacentral:sRNA from 1 species